GGGCACAUGGUGUAGUUGGUUAUCACGCCCGCUUAGCACUGGCUAGGUCUGCGGGCGGUCCCCGGUUCAAUUCCGGGUGUGUCCA
rnacentral:tRNA from 1 species